rnacentral:rRNA from 1 species
CGACAGGCUAACACAUGCAAGUCGAGGGGCAGCAUAAAAGUAGCAAUACUUGGUGGCGACCGGCGCACGGGUGAGUAACGCGUAUGCAACCUACCUAUCAGAGGGGAAUAACCGGCGAAAGUCGGACUAAUACCGCAUAAAACAGGGGCACCGCAUGGUGAUAUUUGUUAAAGAAAUUCGCUGAUAGAUGGGCAUGCGUUCCAUUAGGUAGUUGGUGAGGUAACGGCUCACCAAGCCGACGAUGGAUAGGGGAACUGAGAGGUUGGUCCCCCACACUGGUACUGAGACACGGACCAGACUCCUACGGGAGGCAGCAGUGAGGAAUAUUGGUCAAUGGGCGGGAGCCUGAACCAGCCAAGUCGCGUGAAGGAAGAAGGAUCUAUGGUUCGUAAACUUCUUUUGCAGGGGAAUAAAGUGCAGGACGUGUCCUGUUUUGUAUGUACCCUGAGAAUAAGGAUCGGCUAACUCCGUGCCAGCCGCCGC